rnacentral:tRNA from 1 species
GCGGGUGUAGCUUAAUGGUAAAGCUNCAGCCUUCCAAGCUGGUGACGUGGGUUCGAUUCCCAUCACCCGCUCCA